CAUCCUCCAAGGCUAAAUACUCCUGACUGACCGAUAGUGAACCAGUACCGUGAGGGAAAGGCGAAAAGAACCCCGGCGAGGGGAGUGAAAAAGAACCUGAAACCGUGUACGUACAAGCAGUGGGAGCACAGGUUUACCUGUGUGACUGCGUACCUUUUGUAUAAUGGGUCAGCGACUUAUAUUCUGUAGCAAGGUUAACCGUAUAGGGGAGCCGCAGGGAAACCGAGUCUUAAUUGGGCGUUAAGUUGCAGGGUAUAGACCCGAAACCCGGUGAUCUAGCCAUGGGCAGGUUGAAGGUUGGGUAACACUAACUGGAGGACCGAACCGACUAAUGUUGAAAAAUUAGCGGAUGACCUGUGGCUGGGGGUGAAAGGCCAAUCAAACCGGGAGAUAGCUGGUUCUCCCCGAAAGCUAUUUAGGUAGCGCCUCGUGAAUUCAUCUCCGGGGGUAGAGCACUGUUUCGGCUAGGGGGCCAUCCCGGCUUACCAACCCGAUGCAAACUGCGAAUACCGGAGAAUGUUAUCACGGGAGACACACGGCGGGUGCUAACGUCCGUCGUGAAGAGGGAAACAACCCAGACCGCCAGCUAAGGUCCCAAAGUCAUGGUUAAGUGGGAAACGAUGUGGGAAGGCCCAGACAGCCAGGAUGUUGGCUUAGAAGCAGCCAUCAUUUAAAGAAAGCGUAAUAGCUCACUGGUCGAGUCGGCCUGCGCGGAAGAUGUAACGGGGCUAAACCAUGCACCGAAGCUGCGGCAGCGA
rnacentral:rRNA from 1 species